rnacentral:rRNA from 1 species
UACGGAGAGUGCAAACGUUGUUCGGAUUCACUGGGCGUAAAGGGCACGUAGGCGGCUCGGCAAAUCAGUCGUGGAAUCCCGUCGCUUACCGGCGGAACGGCGGCUGAAAAUACCGGGCUCGAGGGCGUGAGGGGUCACUGGAACUCUUGGUGAAGCGGUGAAAUGCGUAGAUAUCAAGAGGAACGCCGGAGGCGAAAGCGAGUGACUGGCGCGUUCCUGACGCUGAGGUGCGAAAGCUAGGGGAGCAAACAGG